rnacentral:tRNA from 2 species
GCGGGUUUAGCUCAGUUGGGAGAGCGUCAGACUGAAGUCAAACUUCAAUCAUCAUUGAUAUCUGAAGGUCAUGUGUUCGAUCCACAUAAACCGCA